GGUGGGGUGGCAGAGCGGUUAAACGUACCGGUCUUGAAAACCGGCAGGCUCCAAUAGGGGUCUCGAGGGUUCGAAUCCCUCCCCCACCG
rnacentral:tRNA from 1 species